rnacentral:rRNA from 1 species
AUUGAACGCUGGCGGCAGGCCUAACACAUGCAAGUCGAACGAGUGGCGGACGGGUGAGUAAUGUCUGGGAAACUGCGUGUUGGAGGGGGAUAACUAAUGGAAACGGUAGCUACUACCGAAUACCCUCAGCUGUGUCCAGCUGGGAUAUGCUAGUGGGUGGGGUAACGGCUCACCAAGGCGAGGAUCCCUAGCUGGUCUGAGCGGAUGACCAGCAACUCUGGAACUGGGACACGGUCCAGAUCCCUACGGGAGGCAGCAGUGGGGAAUAUUGGAAAAUGGGGGCAAUCCUAAUGCAGCCAGGCCGCGGGGAUGAAGAGGGCCUUGGGUUGGUAAAGUACUUUCAGCGGGGAGGCGGUACCCGCAGAAGAAGCACCGGCUAACUCCGUGCCAGCCGCCGCGGUAAUAC